CUAUAUAUUACAUGGACUGCCAACUCUACGCACUAAGCCUAUAUUUUUCAAUAAACAAGUCCCGUUCACGGAGGCGUCCUUGGUUGCGUGGUAAAUUGACUUCCGGUAGAUUUUUUUUUUACGUAUAAAGAAACCAUUCUCGAAGAUUUUUACCACCACUUUUACAGCAAAUCAUGAAUGGAAACUGAAUUGUUAAAGAAGAUGUUACAGAGGAGCAUACUACUUCCACAAACCUGAUUUGAUUGUCAAUAAUUUUCAAAUUGAAAGGGAUCUACUACAACUGCUCAUGAAUUUCGAGAUUUUACAGCUAAUAGAGGAACAAAUUUUAUCUGCUUCCACUUAGCCAAACAGCAUGGAAAUAUGCUAUUGUAAUGAGUAGAAGAUAUUUGU